UUUUUUUUUAAACCUUGUCUUUGGUUUUCAAACAUGAUGUAUGUUUUUGACAUAAGAACAAAACUUGAGCAUGCUAAUAUAAAGUCAAUCACAUAAAUUAAAACUAAAGAAGUUUUAGUUAUAUAUAAGAAUCAUUCAAAAUUAUGUUCAAUGAAACCAUUGCAUAAUGAUGUAAUGAAAAUAUUAAACAUUUUGAAACCAUGUUUUAGUGUCAUGCANN
rnacentral:lncRNA from 1 species